UACGUAGGGUGCGAGCGUUAAUCGGAAUUACUGGGCGUAAAGCGUGCGCAGGCGGUUUUGUAAGCCCGAUGUGAAAGCCCCGGGCUCAACCUGGGAAUGGCAUUUGGGACUGCAAGGCUUGAGUGCGGCAGAGGAGACUGGAAUUCCUGGUGUAGCAGUGAAAUGCGUAGAUAUCAGGAGGAACACCGGUGGCGAAGGCGGUUCUCUGGGCAUGAUCUGACGCUGAGGAGCGAAAGUGUGGGGAGCGAACAGG
rnacentral:rRNA from 1 species